CCUACGGGGGGCAGCAGUGAGGAAUAUUGGUCAAUGGCCGGAAGGCUGAACCAGCCAUGCCGCGUGAAGGUCAGUGCCCUAUGGGCGUUAAACUUCUUUUGUGCGGGAGCAAUAAUGGUCACGUGUGGCCAGACGAGAGUACCGUACGAAUAAGCAUCGGCUAACUCCGUGCCAGCAGCCGCGGUAAUACGGGGGAUGCAAGCGUUAUCCGGAUUUAUUGGGUUUAAAGGGUGCGUAGGCUGUGAGGUAAGUCAGCGGUGAAAUGCCCCCGCUCAACGGGGUGAAGUGCCAUUGAUACUGCCUGGCUGGAAUGCGGAUGCCGUGGGAGGAAUGUGUGGUGUAGCGGUGAAAUGCAUAGAUAUCACACAGAACACCGAUUGCGAAGGCAUCUCACGAAUCCGCGAUUGACGCUGAUGCACGAAAGCGUGGGUAUCAAACAGGAUUGGAUACCCUAGUAGUC
rnacentral:rRNA from 1 species